AGGGCUCGCGAGCCCCCUCAGGGCGCGGCGGGAGCGCGCGGGGCCCGCGGGCCGGAGCCGCCGCAGCCGCCGGGGCCUCUCCGUUAACCCCGAGAUCAAAAGGGCUCCCAUCACCGCUCCAGAUCCCAUCCCUGUAACUUCGCAGCAGCAGCGCCCCAGUGCCGUGCAGGCAGUCCCUCUCCCUCCCGGCCGCCCCAGUCCAGCAGUUCAGAGGGGCAGGUUUUGUCUGCAUCCACCCCCAGGCCAGGAUCUGCUCCGGCCUGAACUGCGGGAGCCGCCGGCCCGGGCACCCACCCCCUGGCCCGGGUCUGUGCACUCGGGGUAGUGAAGACUCGGCCCCUCCUGGGCCAGCCUGGCCGCCCCCAGCAACAAUCGGCCUUUGCCAGCUGGGAAAGCAAUGGACAGGACAGAUGGAAUGCCAAUUGAUACCUGCACGCCAGUCAGUUUCCAAAGGUGAAGGGAAACGCCAAUGUGCCCAAUGGAGGUGGAGAACUGAUCUGAAAUAAGCGAACGAUCUUUCAAAGAAACAUUUUUGGAGGAACAUACCCCAAGUUCCUGAGCAGUGUGGGGACAGGGCUAUUCUACCCAUGCCAAGGAUUGUAACUACUUCAAGACGUGCGAGAUAACAAUCAGGAGGGUCGAGGGAUGUUGCUUCCUUGAAGAUGUUUUCUGCCAAGGAGUGCUCCAUCAGUGAAAAGUCAUCUGCUCCUCAUACAAUCCGUGUUCUCUUCUCAGGAUCCUUUGCCCAGGAAGAGAUGAACAGAAAUUCCUUGCUCGUAUCCUGAGGCCAGGAAUGAGAGAUGACACGCAAACAAAAAAUAUAAAGAUACUAUCCUUCACAUCUGGAAAAAGAAAACAAAAAAAAAGC